ensembl:lncRNA
AUUGCAUUUGCUCAUGAAAAUAAUGCAAAGCAGCCCUUAAUGACAGCUGUAGCCUGUAUAAUUACAUCAACGCAGAGAAAAAAUUAUUGACCCAUCAGCCCAUAAGUGCAUCGGCCCACCUGGAAAAUGCCUGAUAUGCCUGUCAUGGUCCUGGAUCUUUGACCCAGGGUUUGAGGUUUGUUUGACGUUAUUCAUUAAUGGAACUAUGAGAUACGUAUGUUUAGUUUUUGAGGGACUUCGAGUUUUGCAUACUUAUGUUUCAGGUUUUCAGUUUGCUUUUAUGUCUGUUCUCUUUCUCAUGUCCAGUCUGUCUUUGUCUCGUCUGUGUUAUAUCUUCAGCGUCUCCUGUUUGUUUGAUCUCCCUGUGUUUUGUCUACUUGUCUCCAUGUUUGUUUAUUCCCUUGACUAAUGGGUGGGGACAUGGGACAAAAAAUCCUUCUUUGCCUUAUUUGGCAAAUAACAAACUGAUGUCUCAGAUUUAUAUCCAAAUUUGUCAGAUACGGAUCAAGCAUAACAUUCAAUUUCUGUUCAGAAAAGUAAAUAAGGGCAAUUUGCAUCUGAAAACAGCAAGCAAAUAAUUUUUUCUUUAACUCUGUUUAUGUAUGAGUGUUUGUGCAAGUGUGUCUAAGUAGUGAAAGCCACAUUUUCAGUGGGUUUCCAGGUAGAUGGUCGGGUAUUUCCACUGGACAAAAAUGGAAUAUAAUGGUUUGACACAAAUGACACAGAAACAUUCAAGAUUAUUUACUAUCAUCAUCUCAGUUCAGCAAAUCAGACUGAGUGCAGUAAAACACAGAUUCCUGUUGCAUGUGGAAAUGCUUUUUAAAAUUUCCAUAUGAAAAAGAAUUGGCAUCAGCAAACUUAAAAUAUGGAACUGUAAUUUGGUAGUUGCUAUAUGUUAUCACAUAACAACCUGUUAAACUUGUUAUAGAAAAUACAAAAAAUGAUUAAAACCUAAUAUAACACAAUAACAAGCUUAAAGCGUGUAGCUGCAUGUGGUGCAGAGGAUGUUGAGCAUCCAUGUAUUAUCCACAGCCGCAAUCCUCUGACGGAGGAAUCAAAACAGUGUGCUGAUUCAAACUGAAACCAAAAAGUUUGAGUACAUUGAAAAGUAGGUACUGCCCAAAGAUCUCCUUCCAGUGAUGUGAGGUCUAGCAGGCAUGUGCUCAAAAAAUAUAGUUAAGAGGUAUUUUUAUCUUUAAAGAAGCAGCAGUGCUGCCUAAUGUUUUCUGUGGCUAAUCGACUCAUAUAAAGUCCCAGGUGUGAGAAAUGCUACAUGUGAAAGAUAUGUUGAAAUGCUGGUGUAUAAUCUGGCCUAAAUCUACUGUCAGAAAGACUGAAGCAAUCCAGGAGUUCAAUUAACUGUCUUUAAUAAAUUCAUACAGAAAAAAAAGAAUAGCAUUGUGUCUCUGUUGCUUGCCAGCCUUAAUUCGAAUUUUGUGCAGAUAGGAGUGAACGUAUGUAUGUGAUAAUUUGCGUGUGAUUUUCUGAGACACAAACAGAUAAUUCUGUAAUUAGUAAAGUUAUAAAUACUGGCAUGAAUAAUGACAAUACCACCUUCUGCUGGGGUAGGACACUCGGCACAAGGCACAAGCAAUAUCUCACAAUGUCUACAAGAGGUCUUACACGUGAGGUCAAAAUUAGCAACAGUUUUGGAGCAGAACAGUCCUUUUACUUAUUCUUAAUACAGGCUGUAGCACUUGGGCACCUUGUGUAGCAGAGUGAAGUACAAGUAUCUCUAGCUCUCAAGACUACGAUGACCUGGAUUGCUGUGAAACUUCAGUGACUGAAUUGCUGAUUCAUUAUUAGACACUGCUUACAAUGUUCUCACUCAGCACAGGCAGGUAUCUCCUGUUCUUUGGAGACACUAUUGACGUUGUUCUUGACUGAGCAGACCAGACGUCCGGAGACGUGCUGUUUCAGAGUGAUGAUGUUAGUCUCAUUGUUUCCAGGAAGGAGCUCAGCAUCUGUCAGUGUGCGUCCAUCCAGAGUCCAGCUGUACUGAGGACUGUCCCCUCUCUCAGAGGAGCAGGACACCCUCCUCUCUCCCUGGGACAGACACUCAGAGACCAGCAGGACAGAGGACACAGGAGCUGAGAGAAACACACACAGAUGAGUUUAGAUUUAAAACCAGAAUUGUGAAAAUUCUUUACAGUCUCAAAUGAAGAACAGGGAAAGCACAAAAUACAUGUAUCUGAACAUUUUUUAUAUUUAUUGUAUAGAUCAGCAAAACAUUGUUAAAUUUAUAUCUAUUAAUAGCUUAAUUGAGAAGAAAAGGAAAGAAAUUACCUUGAAUAAACAACUGUAAACUCUGCUCGCCUGAUGAUCUGCCAUCUGAAUCAAAGGUUAUAAGGCUAUAAUUACCACUGUCUGUCCUGCUUAGAUCACUGAUUCUAAAUGUUCCAUUACUGGGUAAGAUUAGAGAUUUGUGUGCUAUGGUAUUAUAAAUAGCCUUAUUCCCUCUCACAUCUAGUAUUUUUAAUGAAUCCUUUAACAAGUAGUAUCUAGCUAUUUCAGAGGUGCUGUUCAGUAGCUGGAUGUUCACAGUUCCUCCCAAAGCUCCAUAACACUGAGCUCCAUCCUGUCUGCCAUCACAGUGAGUUUCCACACCUGCAAAGAAAAAAAUAGACAAACGCAAAACUGUCAAACUUUUGAGUAUUAAGUUACUACCAGAAAGACUGCAGUAGCAUAUGCAAAUGUUUACAAUGAACAGAAAUUUGUAAGCUUCAUGAUUAUUUUAAUAUGGUUCCCACAGGUGGGCACAAAUUAGUCACUGAAUUCCAUCAAGAGAAAUAGUGGUUUUGUGGCUACUGUCGUUUUGUUUUAGUAGUGGUUUGUUGUUUACUCAGGCCUGCUGGAAAUGAAAAACAGAAUAUUUAUCUAACUGUUAUGCAAAACCUCAAUUUUAUGCUGUUCUUAGGGUCUAAAAAACUGACUUUCGCAAGCUACUCUCAUGUGGUAGUUAUUCAUUGAAAAUGAAUGCAGGAAGUGAAAAUGGAGGAAAUUUUAACCCACAAAGAAAAGGUUUGAGUAGUCCUGAAACAGGGAACAGUUGAGCAAAAAUGCUGCAAAUCUUAUCAACGUAUGUAAAUUGGCAGCAUCAUUUCCCAACAGGGAAAAUUUUACCUUGAAUAAACAAAUGUAGAGUCCAAGCAUCUGAUGUCCUUCCAUCUGAAUCAAAGGUUUCCAGGGUAUAUUUACCAAUGUCAUUCCUACUCAGGUCAUUGAUCCUAAAUGUUCCAUUACUGGGAAAAAUGAGAGACCUACUCUCUAUGGCAUUAGAAAAAACUGUAUUAUUUCUCGCUGCUAGUAUUUUUAAUGAAUCCUUUAACAACUGGUAUCUAGGUAUUUCAGAAGUGCUAUUCAUCAGCUGAAUGUCCACAGUUCCUCCCAAAGGUACAUAACACUGAGCUCCAUCCUGUCUGCCAUCACAGUGAGUUUCCACACCUGCGAAAAAAAAGUGAACAAAUAAACAAAGGCAAAAUCAAACCCAGAUGGUAAAAUGAGUGACUGAAUUUAAUUUAGUCAAAAUGUAAAUGACGACAGGGUACAUAUUUAAUGAGUUCAUAUGUCAUAGCUAUAUUUACGCAUUUUCAU